rnacentral:tRNA from 1 species
CAAAAUGUAGCUUAACUAAAGCAUCUUGCUUACACCAAGAUAGACGUUGAUAAACCUCAACCAUUUUGA